GACGAACGCUGGCGGCGUGCUUAACACAUGCAAGUCGAACGGAAAGGCCCUGCUUUUGUGGGGUGCUCGAGUGGCGAACGGGUGAGUAACACGUGAGUAACCUGCCCUUGACUUUGGGAUAACUUCAGGAAACUGGGGCUAAUACCGGAUAGGAGCUCCUGCUGCAUGGUGGGGGUUGGAAAGUUUCGGCGGUUGGGGAUGGACUCGCGGCUUAUCAGCUUGUUGGUGGGGUAGUGGCUUACCAAGGCUUUGACGGGUAGCCGGCCUGAGAGGGUGACCGGCCACAUUGGGACUGCGAUACGGCCCAGACUCCUACGGGAGGCAGCAGUGGGGAAUAUUGCACAAUGGGCGGAAGCCUGAUGCAGCAACGCCGCGUGCGGGAUGACGGCCUUCGGGUUGUAAACCACUUUCGCCUGUGACGAAGCGUGAGUGACGGUAAUGGGUAAAGAAGCACCGGCUAACUACGUG
rnacentral:rRNA from 1 species